rnacentral:lncRNA from 1 species
CCUAAUUCAUUUCCCCUGAGACGCCACCUUUGAACCCUCUUCGUCUCUCAAACUCUCUCGAACCUCUCUGAAAGCCUAAUAGUUUCCCCACCUUAUCUCACCAUGUCUCCACCAGAAUCCAUGGCGUGUCCAGCCAUGGACGGUCUGUACUCAUCCUUUCUCACCAUCACACCUAAGUUAUUCAAGGAUUGAAGCCCGACUUCAAUGGCCUUCUUCAGAUCCUUCUCAGAUCUAUAGAUCUAUGGCUUCUCCGGCUAUUAUUCCAGCAUGUUCAAUCAAUUUCAGUCUUUUCGAUCUCAGGAUCUGACUUUCCUCAAGACCUUUCUCAUUGCUAGGGUUUUCUCUGCAACUCUAAGCCGUCUGAGGUUCUGUACCUGCCUAUUUUCUUAGAUCUGUGAUAGGUCUGGGCUUUAUUUGAGAUUUUAAAGGUUUUCCCUAAACUUCCUUUUUAAAAUUGUUCAAUUUUGAUUUUAGGGUUUCUGAAAAAGUUUCUUCAAAUAUCUUUCUAAUUCUUUCCAUUCUUUAUUUAUGUUUGUUUAUCUAUGUUAGGAUCGUAUGUUUUCUUUUCUCCUACGCAUGAGUUUGCUCUAUUGUUUCAUUUAUAUUAUGCGAGACUCUUCUAUUUUUUGCUGUCACUCUUAUGCUCUCAUGUUAAUCCGUAUUGUUAAUCUUUAUUAUUUGCUAUAUGUGCUUAUGGUUGAGUUCUUUGAUUUUGUUCACUUUACCGAGUUCUGUUUGUGUUCCUGCUCAGCAUAUUUCAUCUACUUUUGUUUAAAGCUCGUAUCAUCUCUUUCUUCUGAACUUGUUUAAAUUCCAAGUUUUCUCGAGCGUGUUCUCAUGACUUUGAAUCAGUGUUCUUUCCAUCGUGUGUGUUUGUCUCUCAUAAGUCUUUGGAAAAGACUUAUGAGCCCCUCUCAAGUUGCCUGCCUUCUCAUUUCCAUUGUCUGACUCAAUUUGAAACCCUAGGAUUUGGGGGUUUCUUUGGCAAGUGGUAUUAGGGUUCCACUUUGGGACCCUAGGCUUUCAGACUCACUAUGAGUCUGUAACUGAACUCGAAUCCCUUUUGCUUGUGGCUCUAAGACUUUCAAUGUUAGACUCUUUUUCUAAGAAACCUGACGAUUCCUUUUGCUUGAUCUGUGUGCUUUAUAUAUGAGAAAUUCCUCUUUCAAAAGUAUUCACCAAUUAAGUGAUUGAUUCUGAAAUCCCAUUAAUAAGGCUGAUGAAUUGUCACUGAUUUUUCUUUGAUUGAACCUCUUUACCUUUCUUGACUUGGUUCAUUCGAAUUGAACUUGUAAUUUUGAUUUCAUGGCUGUUUGAUUGAUUCCCUUGCCAUAUUUGGCACAAACCGUAUGUCGUUGAUUGUUUUCCUUAAAUAACUUCUAUGUACAUACCCCUUUUGUGCUACUUUGAAAAGUUUUUAAUUAAAACUUCUUUCCUUAACUAAAUUUUACCCAUUGAAAUCAGAAUCCCUUAACCAAAGGGAGGUUAUUUCAAUAAUAUUUCCUUGCCUUUCUUACUUGUUUUUUGCACUAUAAAAGGGACUGCCCUUCUGCACUUUUAAGACACCUUACACCUUCAGUUCACAAGACCUACGCACUACCAGUCCUUAACUCCAAUUCAAUACUUGCACACUUGCAAUGUUGCUUUGAAUUCAGUACUCUUUCAACACUCUGGUUUUGCUUGAGAUAUUUUUGAAUUUCUUGGCUUGCAACUUGGCUUUUUCUAAGACUACUGUUUUUACUUGUUUUCCCCUGAAACUGGUAUAUUCUGAUUUAACGUUUCUGCCUCACCCCUAUGUGCUUAUUUACAGUUUUCUGCAAUCUUGUUUACUUUACUACUCAUGUUCAAUGAUUUCAGCUAAGUAUGUUCUUUCCCUGCACCUGUUUCUACUGUGAAUCCCUACCCCCUAUUCCCUUCUAUGUGUUUGAGUUAAGGCUCAUGGCCUGGUAGUAUUCAAAUUGCUGCUCAGGUCAUAACCUGAUCCAUAAUGGAUCCUAACUCUUAAGAUUUGGCUAACAAGCUAGUCGUGGGUGUGCCAGCAUUCCUAAUGGCUAAGCAUGACCACCAGCCUGUCAUGGCUUUCCCCUAAUUCCCCUAUGCCUUUACACUUAUUCUUAGACUCUUAAGUUCUGCCCCCCCCCUCUUAUGAGCCUUGCUUUGGGACCUUGAGUUUCUCUGAACUUGUACAUCUCAGGGUUGGCCCUUCCACACUGCACUAUGAUCUUAAUUCUACAAUGUGUUUAGGGUGUAAGCACUGCCUAGGGCCCUUUGAGACUAUUGGGAACUUUGACACAUCCCAAACAUGAGAAAGGCAUUUGGAAAUCUGAUCCUGGAGGUUGGUUUAUCUCAUAUUGUUGGACUUUGAUUCUGAAUUAGGCUGUUUGGUUGUAGCUGGAAUUUCUGAUGUAAUUUUACCUUUUCAUUCGGGUCUGUAAUAAUUUUUAAUAACUAUUGGGGUUGGCUAGUGAAAAUGGAUGGGGAUGAAUGUAUGUAAAGGGUAGAAAAACUUGCCUAUAGGAUUUAUUUUGGAUUUCUGCAUUGUCAUCUUAGAACUCAUGCCUAUAAGAUUUUCUAAUUUCUGCAUUCUCAACUUA